CCCAGUUUCUAGCGUUCUAAGUCCGCUGUGCCACUGGGGGACAAGCAGCGUGUAAGACAGUUUUCGAUAUUUAUUUACUUUUCUGUUCACAUACAAAUAUAAUGAUGAUUAAAACAUAUUUCUGUAGAACUUUUGUUGUAGUUUUGCUAUUUUUAUUUUUUUUUCACUAAAAUAGAUUUCGUGUAGAUACGGGACGUUUUAUUAGUUUCUAAAUACUUUUUAAUCUCAUUAUUGAUCACUAAACUUUUUUCUUUUUUUUACACUACAGUUUACUUUUGCUCUCUUAUCCAUGGUUUCUUUUAUAUAAUUCUUGUCACGCACCUUAACACUGUAAUAUGAUUUUUUCCAGACGUUAAAAAAUAUACAAUUUCUAUCACAUUCAAUAUCAAAAUAUGGUAGUUUUAUCAGGACUCCAUGGAGUUCCUUACAUUGUCUCCACAAUUUAUCUAAGACGUUAUAGUUUAUUGCAUUUUUAAAUGCUUUUUGAUACUAUUUGCUCUUUUCGAUUGACCAGUUCAUAAAAACAAAUAUUAUCUUACUUAAAAAUUGCACUUAAUAAUUAUUUCCGGUAAGUACGCGAAUAUGGCCAGUUCGGAAUAUUUUAAUGUAUAACGCACUGCAUUGAGAAUUUCAUCCAAUUUGUUUGCACUACGUGUGGAAAAAUAUACCUUUUCACACAACACAUGUCCUACAUUCUAGGCAUUGCAUUGUUUGGCAAAUCUUAUAGCAAAUUUUAUUCUUUCUGAAUAAGGUAGAUUCAGUAAAAUGGAAAAAAACCUAUAUUGAGGCUAGGUUUGUAGCUUUUGUUGUGUUUAAGCACAAAGCUACAGAAUGGGGUGUCUAUUUGCUCUGUGGCCACCGGGAGUAUCGAGCCUCGGUUGUUAGCGUUAUAAGCCCUCGAUCUUACAGCUGCCUCACCGGGGGUGGGUUAGUUUGUUUGUAGUUAAGCGCAAAGCUACACAAUGGGCUAUCUGUGCUCUGCCCACUACAAGUAUCGAAACCCGAAUUCUAGCGUUGUAAGUCCAUUAAUUUGAAUAUAACUUGAAGUUUUUUUCUCUAAUAUAUUGGAUAUGAAAAAUAUUAUGGUUUUUACCUUUUAACAAACCAAUGUAUAAAGAUUUUGUCAUAUGAGUUUAAUAUAAAACAAGUUCUUAUAACUCUUUUCAGUUUUGCCAUUACAUUGUUGUUGUUUCUCAGGUUCUCAGUUCGGCAUUUGCUGCUAUCAUACUUUUCCUUCUGGGUUUUUCUGUAGUGGAAUCAACAAGUAAGAACAAACGUAGUUCUGGUUGUUUGCCGCUUGAAGUCACACUCGUCUUCAGAAUUCUCGGCGCCUCUCUCAUCUCGUCUGGUGCAGUGAGCCUUAUGUGAAGCGAAAUAGAAGACUGGAAAGAUUUAAUGAGCUUUUCUUUUCUUUAUGGUACAGUACCAACUGGGCCUGUUGUUUUGGUGUUUGCUGCACAAUACUGACUUCCUGUAAACGUAGCGUUUUGAAUCAACUGUGAAAAAGGUUUGUUCAUCACAAU